GUCGAUGACGAAAACCUGCAAUAGGAAGUGCCGUCUGAUGCGACAACUGACGAUCCACUAUUCUGAGU
ensembl:snoRNA